rnacentral:rRNA from 1 species
GACGAACGCUGGCGGCGUGCUUAACACAUGCAAGUCGAGCGGAGCGGCGAACGGGUGAGUAACGCGUGAGUACCUGCCCCCCUCCCUGGGAUAACAGGUGGACACGGUUCCUAAUCCCGGCUAUUGGGGUAUGACUCGCGUCCUAUCCGCUUGUUGGGGGGGUAGUGGCCUACCAAGGCGACGACGGUUAGCCGGCCUGAGAGGCGGACCGGCCACAAUGGCCUGAGAUACGGCCCAAACUCCUACGGGGGGCAGGAGUGGGGAAUAUUGCGCAACGGGGGAAACCCUGCUGCAGCAACGCGCGUGCGGGAUGACUGCCUUCGGGUUGUAAACCGCUUUCAUCCAUGACGCGGUAGUGGCAGAAGAAGCACCGGCUAACUACGUGCCAGCAGCCGCGUAAUAC